rnacentral:lncRNA from 1 species
GUUUUGGUCGGGAAGAAGGGGCGGGGCCUGAGGCCUGGAAAGUAGGGGAAAGGUGUGCAUUCCUGACCAGGAAGAGUUUUAAAAGCUGGCCGGCUCCAGGUGACAUUCCUGCAUCUGCUCCUUUCUCCAGGCACGGAGCCGGAGCUUCUAGGCCUACGUCUGCCUCUGACAUCCCUCCCCAGGCGGCUUUGGGCCGCGGUCACUACUCUAAGUGGAGCCAAGAUAGGUCCUGCACGGCGCCUUUCAUGACCUGUAACUUUUCUGUUUCCUUAGUUAUGUGUUAAUUAUCUCACCACCAGAAGGAACCCUGGCAAGGUUAGGAAGCUUUCGAGUUCACUGCGAACCCCAGUUCCUGGUUUUCUGCAGGCUCCGUCCCCAGGGGGUUUACGUUGUCUCCAGUUUGCAGGACGUCACGUCCGUGCGCGGUGUGUCCCCAUACGAGGAUAACUACAGAUCACUUCCGAGAACUGGAAUUGCUGGUUCCCAGAUGUUGUUGGCACCACUGGUCCAGGGACCAUGCUGUGAGAACUGCUGAUCCAGCCCGACUUCUCGUUUGUGGGAAUAGAGACUGAGACCCAGAGGACAGAAGCAACUUGUCCGAAUCACCCUCUGAGUGUGCGCAGAGAAACAACUAGAACCUGCAUCUCUAGGCUGGCUCCCAACUCAGUGCCCUCCACCACGUUGCAAGGCCCCCUGCACGCAUGCCCCAGGGCCGCCCAGAGAACAGCCCGAGAAGAAAGCCUUUGCCGCUGGGCAACAGCACAAACUUCCUGCUGGCCUGGGAAGGCAACCUUCCAAGUGUCCCCAUGGCCGCCCAGCCUGUCUGCCUGGCCAGCUGCCUGUAACUGGGUGUGCUGCCAGCGCGGCUUCCCCAGUGACCCACUGCAGUGCUGGCACCAGCCCAGAUGAGCAGCAGGCCCAGCCAGGGUGGCAGUCAAGGCUUGGCAGCAUGGCCUGUGGAGAAGCCCGUCACAGAGGUGACUUGUGGGGGCCUUGCAGGGGCCUGAGCGGAGGUCUGACACCUGCUCCUUCCUCCCACCCCCGGGGAUACCAGGCUGAGCCUCUGUCAGGCUGCACUGCCCCUGCGGCCCCAAGCUGGUCAGCCCCCUGCCUCGGCACAGAAACAAAUUUUAACUCCUUGAAGGAGGUGCCAGCCCCCAGCUCAGCUGAGCACAGGGGAAUCAGGAGGAGUCGCCCAGCGUCCUCCCAGGCACUGGAGGACUCCUAUAUGGUGGCUUCCCCUCUGCCCAGAAGCCCCUUGUCUUCCCCAUGAAGCCCCCACCGUGGGCUGCAGUAAAUGCCCUCCUCCGUGUCCCCAUGUGGCAUCUCUUCAGUCACAUUUGCUGUCAUCACCACCUCCCACCUGUCUCCCCCGGAGCUGGGCACCAGCAGCUCUGACCACGGUGCGGGCUGGCCUCGACUGCCGUCUCACUCCACCGGGGAAUUAGUGGACCGCUUAGCCAGGAUAGGCCUGGGAAAUGCCUCGUGUCCCGAUUUGUCCAGAGCCCCUUCCAGACACCUUCCUGGCUCCAUGUCACUCACAGCUCUGUGCCAGCUCCCCUUGGGUCACUCCGGGCUGGUCCGCCCCAACGUGGUCUCUCAGAGAGGCCAUUGCUCAGUGCUCCCGAUUUGGGAGGCGCCUUCUCGGCCUUUCCCUCUUCCUCCCUCCUCCCUACAGGUGUGACGCCUCUGCUGGCCCCCGGGGAGCCCGGAGACUUUGGGCAGGAAGACGGGAGGACUUGAUCGAGUCACUGACCGUAUGCUCAGCUCCCCAGGCAGUUAUUGACAACAGCUGGGGUUUGCUGUCUGCGAUGCAAAGCAAGCAUGUUCCUGAGGAAGUCCAUGCUCUGCCAGCCCCUGGGGAGAGAUGGCAGUGACACUUCCUGCCCUCACGGAGUUCGCUCACUACCUGUGUGACCUUGGGCAGGUUACUCAGCCUCUCUGAGCCCCAGUUUCCUCAUCUGUAAAAUGGGGAUGGUAAUCAUCUACUUAGAGGAA